GUGGGUAUAGCUUAGUGGUAGAGCGUGAGUUUAGCAUGCACGGGGUCCUGGGUUCAACACCCAGUAUCUCCA
rnacentral:tRNA from 1 species